UACGGAGGGUGCAAGCGUUAUCCGGAUUCACUGGGUUUAAAGGGUGCGUAGGAGGGCAGGUAAGUCAGUGGUGAAAUCUCCAAGCUUAACUUGGAAACUGCCGUUGAUACUAUCUGUCUUGAAUACCGUGGAGGUGAGCGGAAUAUGUCAUGUAGCGGUGAAAUGCUUAGAUAUGACAUAGAACACCAAUUGCAAAGGCAGCUCGCUACACGAAUAUUGACUCUGAGGCACGAAAGCGUGGGGAUCAAACAGG
rnacentral:rRNA from 1 species